rnacentral:lncRNA from 1 species
AGGAAGAAGGUGCUGAUCACUGACUCUGGUGAGAUACCCAAGGAGAAAUGGGGCGAGGAAGCAGACUGAGUCAUAGCCUAGUGCUAGAAAGGGGUUGAUGCCUUUCCACCCACCCAGGUUCAAGGCAUAGUGAUUGCAAUUUGGGUUCGUUGUACCAAUUAUACCGUAGGGGCCUCCCUUAUAGUCUUUCUGUCAAAAUGAAAACGGGGCGACUGAAAUUCAGUAGGCUGCUUGGCCUACUCUGUUGCCUACGGAUUUUGACACCGCGCGCUUUCGCGACCGGUUUUCUUCGCACACCAGCUGUGCUUCGGGCAGAGUUCUGAAUAUUGUACAUUGUAGCCAGCGUAUCGCAUGCCAAAACCUACUUGUAUCUUUUUUUGCGGGGUAAAACCUACUUGUAUCUGAUUAGUAGUGAUAUCCAUAUUACGCUAGGGAUUUUUUUUUUUUGCGGUUGCUAGGGAAUUUUGUUGCUGGAUCUACCUACCCCUAGCCUAUGCAGUAAAAUGCCAAACGGAUGACCAGAGUCCAUUGAGGAACCAGAUUCGACCACAUGACCCUUCUUUGGCUCUGAAAUGAUUGUCUUGUCUUCAGACAGGUUUAUC